CUCCCAGUGCUGCCGAAAAGCAAGGGCCCGGUCGCGCUGUUAAAGCGCCACAGCGCCCGACCGGGCCCCUGCUGACACAGGCCCACCGGGUGGCCCUAAGUGCAUGGGCCCCCAUAGUUUGCGGGCAGAGGGCAAACAGGGUAGUUACCUCGGGCCCCCCAGCAGGGACAGGGCCCGGGGCAGCUGCCCCGUUUGCCCCGCGUUAAAGACGGCCCUGC